rnacentral:rRNA from 1 species
CCUACGGGAGGCAGCAGUGGGGAAUUUUGGACAAUGGGCGAAAGCCUGAUCCAGCCAUGCCGCGUGCGGGAAGAAGGCCUUCGGGUUGUAAACCGCUUUUGUCAGGGAAGAAAUCCUUUGAGUUAAUACCUCGAAGGGAUGACGGUACCUGAAGAAUAAGCACCGGCUAACUACGUGCCAGCAGCCGCGGUAAUACGUAGGGUGCAAGCGUUAAUCGGAAUUACUGGGCGUAAAGCGUGCGCAGGCGGUCUUGCAAGACAGGUGUGAAAUCCCCGGGCUCAACCUGGGAACUGCACUUGUGACUGCAAGGCUGGAGUACGGCAGAGGGGGAUGGAAUUCCGCGUGUAGCAGUGAAAUGCGUAGAUAUGCGGAGGAACACCGAUGGCGAAGGCAAUCCCCUGGGCCUGUACUGACGCUCAUGCACGAAAGCGUGGGGANCAAACAGGAUUAGAUACCCGUGGUACGUCCACGCCCUAAACGAUGUACUACGUGGUUGUGGACGUCUUGCUGUACAGUAACGAGCUACGNGUAGAGUUCGACCGCGGUAGGGGACGUACGGCCGACGUAAGGUUAGAAACGUACGAAAGGUAGUUACGGACGGUCGUAGAGACGUACGACCGACGGACGACGACGGAGGGAGGAGG